GUCGGACGGAAGCAGAACGUGAGCGUCUUCACUUCUGCGGGGACCUCGUUUGCCCCCACCUGAUGCAACCCAGAAAAUGGACUGCGAGUGUCUUGGGGCGGAGAAUGUGUCUUGCUACGUGUAAAGCACCUAGAACCCUGCCAGAUUCAGGGGACACAGCAUCCUGCCGUUUUCCUGCCGUCCCCCGCCCGCCACACAGUAGGCGCUCCAGUGGCUCUGGGCAUCUACCAGGCAGGCCGCGCUGUCCUGCCCUGCCGGGGCUGGAGUAGAGCAACCUUCCGGGGCCACCCACAUCUGGGUACCUUUUCCCCACUUUUUCCACCCCAGCCGCGCACAGUCACCA
rnacentral:lncRNA from 1 species